rnacentral:tRNA from 1 species
UAGUCUGUAGCUCAAUUGGUUAGAGUGCUGCACUGGAAUCACAGGGCCAUAGGUUCAAAUCCUACCAGAGGAC